rnacentral:lncRNA from 1 species
GCACAGAUGGCUCCGCCCGUUUUCCUGUCUCUGUGCCCGUGUCUCCUCUGUCCUCUCCUCUCCUCUCCUCUCCUCUCCUCGCACAUCAAUAACGCAUUCAUCGACAUGCGACUAUCCAAUGCCAGUUCAUACAUGAGCUAGUGCCACAGGCAUACACGGUACGUACAAACCGAUCCAUACAACCUGAUGUAUACGUACGUCGGACAUAUACACGCAAAUUAGUCGGACUCACCACAUAACUGCUGUUUCACGUCAUUUGAUACCGCAACUCAGUUAUCCCCUUUGGGCGCUAGUCUGGGCUGAUAGUGCAGUGUUUUUGUUCCUCCGUGGCUUUUACGCGUUGAAGUGUCGCCCUUGGGCUUUCGGCUCGUAUGGGUAGUUUUACAGGUAUGGGGUCACACACAUCCCAACCAUGUAUGACACAUACACAUACAUACACAUACACAUACACAUACACAUACACAUACACAUACACAUACACAUACACAUACACAUACACAUACACAUACACAUACACAUACACAUACACA